rnacentral:lncRNA from 1 species
GAUGGGAGACAGCUGAAAGCGAAUGAUAUGUUGAAGAAAAAUAAACGUGAAUUUGUGACCUGCAGCAGAAGAAUUUGCCCAUUGAUACCAACAGAGAGACAACCACUGCUAACCAUGCUUUCAAAGCACCACAGUUACCAGUGCUUCCAUACAAACUAACGAUGAUAAUGGUGACAGCACUACCCAGCACACGGGAUUCCUG